rnacentral:rRNA from 1 species
CAGCUCUCCGAGUGGUGUGGAUGUUUAUUGGGCCUAAAGCAUCCGUAGCUGGCUAAGUUAGUCCCUUGUUAAAUCCACCAAAUUAAUUGUUGGAUUGCGGGGGAUACUGCUUGGCUAGGGGACGAGAGAGGCAGACGGUAUUUUCGGGGUAGGGGUGAAAUCCUAUAAUCCCGGGAAGACCACCAGUGGCGAAGGCUGUCUGCUAGAACGCGCCCGACGGUGAGGGACGAAACCCUGGGGCGCGAACCGGAUUAGAUACCCGAGUAGUCC